rnacentral:rRNA from 1 species
AUUGAACGCUGGCGGCAGGCCUAACACAUGCAAGUCGAGCGAGUGGCAGACGGGUGAGUAAUGUAUGGAAAUCUGCCUUAUGGAGGGGGAUAACUACGAGAAACUUUAGCUAAUACCGCAUACCAUCCUUUGACCCCAUGUGGGAUUAGAUUGUUGGGGAGGUAACGGCUCACCUAGGCGACGAUCUCUAGCUGGUCUGAGAGUAUGACCGGCCACACUGGGACUGAGACACGGCCCAGACUCCUACGGGAGGCAGCAGUGGGGAAUAUUGCACAAUGGGCGCAAGCCUGAUGCAGCCAUGCCGCGUGGAUGAAGAAGGCCUUAGGGUUGUAAAGUACUUUCAGCGGGGAGGCGUUACCCGCAGAAGAAGCACCGGCUAACUCCGUGCCAGCAGCCGCGGUAAUUC